ensembl:processed_transcript
CCUUUACGCCGUGAGUUGGCUCGUGCCAAUGACGCGAGGAUGGAAGUCUAAAAGCAAAAUAGAGUCUGGUGCGGUCCUAGGGCGUCUCUAAGAGAUGACGUUUCCGACGAUGCGCCCCCGUCGUCUUCGGAUGCGGGCCAGCGCUGUGGCUGCAGAAACUAGUCCAUGCUUCCCGUUGCACCCCAAGGCACUCGGUAACGUAGUAUGCAAGCCGAACAGCUUUUGCACUCGCGACAAGCUAAUUGAGCUACUCGACCUUCCACAACCAGACAUUUGUUUCUACCCAUCAGACUUACAGUUCUGCUAGGCCCUCCAAAGUGGCGUCACGGUAGAGGAUCAUGCCAUCAAAUGGAAAAACAAGUUGUCUUUCUGACCUACCCAGGACUCAGGAAGCUGAAUUCACAACAUCUGCACUGCACCUGUGGAGGGAAGCACUGAAUAUCAUUCCAGAAGCACAUCUGGAUAUCAUUCCAGAAGCACAUCUGGGGACAAGAUGUAUUUGUUGAGGAACAGUGUACAGAAGCUGAAGAAGAACCACAGCGUGAGGUAGAUGAGAGCCCUUGAACUCCACACACCCAGGUCCGACUCAAUGACAGUAGUCUCCGUGAUGGUGACAGUGAGCAGGCUCUCCUCUGGGCUGCCAUCACCUUUAGUAAAGACAAUCUUCUCACUCCGGUGACCAAAAAGGGACGCCCAAGUGAGAAGUGUUUUUCCCUUGGGCUCUUCCUCACAGCCAGGCGCAGUCUCCUCCAGCACUUGGGAUUUUGCUGCUGAUGACAUGCUGAGGGCACUUGCGAGGAGUGAAUCUCAAAGACAGACCACAUGGAUCAAAGCAACUGCCCAGGCAGAGAGACACAGCUGGAGGAAGAGGCAGCAGCCCUGGUCUGCAUGAAUGUUGACUCCAGCAUGCUGGUCUCCAGCAAAGUAAGGAAGCAAAAGCUAAAAUGGUAAGAAAAGAAACCACAUUACUAAUUUUGAACAUCUUAUAUUCUUUUAUAACCUGUGUAGAUACAUGUGACACCUGAGUGUAUCUAAGUGCAGACAUAUAUGUGGAGGCCAGAGAACAAGCAUGGAUCCUGCCUUGUACCUUUUUUGCUAUCACUUUUAUUAUUUGCCAGUAAGUGAGCUAGUUAGCCCACAAGCUUCCAAGGGUCCUCCUGCAUCUGUUUUCUAUCUUACCUUCCAAAGAUUCUCCUGUUUUUUUGGUUUCAAUAUUGUCAAAGAAGCACUGAGAUUAUAGUUGCCAGGCCCUGGAGCCUACACUGAGCUCAGGAGGUACCAAACUGGGUCAACCCUCUUCUUCUUCUUCCUAGGUUGGUUCAGCCCAAGGCAGGCUUUGCCCCCAAUCUCUAAUGACAUUGUCUGCAUCUUCUCAGCCCUUUCAGGAACCAGGAAACACCCACAGAUAGAAGGAACUGAAUGUUCCUCUUAAACUGCUAUUUUUUCAUGCCUGGUUUCUCCGUACCUUCCACAGAAACCCUCUGAACUUUAUCCAAAGCUUCUACCUGAUCCUAACUGGAAUGCUGAUUUACCACACUGAAUACUUAAUUUAUGAGAAGUUCUUCUUGAUUCCAUUUCAAACUGGCCUGUUCUCACUUUGUUCUUUCAUUCCUCUUUCACAUCCUUUAUUGCCUUUGCUGGUUUAUUAUCCAUAGAUCAUAGCAACUAGGUCCAUUUUUUUCUUGGUGACUACACAGGUGAAUGUAAUAGAGAGCAUCUCAGACUAUACCCCUUCAUCUCUUAUCCUGGCCUGAGAUUUGCCCAGGGCUCAGGACCAAUUUUAUGUUACUUUCUAGACAAAUACUAUACUAAUGGCAUCAACUUAAAGUUUGGCCCAAGGAUGCUCAGACCUGUGCUACAAUGUCUGUAGGUGAGAAGUCUACUAUUAUAAGCCAAACCAUCCUGUUCUCCUGUAGAUACUGGCAUUUUCCUAGUACUGGCUUUGAGCAGGGUCUCAUCUUUGACCUACUUCAUCUAACGAGGACCAAGGUCACUUCCUUCCAAAGAACACGUCAUAGAGUGCUUGCCUACCACGCACAAACCCUGAGGUUUGAACCUCUGUACCAAAGCUAAUACUGGCUUCUGGCGUCCACAGGCACCAGGCAUAUAUGUGGCUCACAUAUAUACAUGAGACAAAUACCCACACAAGUAAAAAUACAAAUUUUUAAAAGGGCACUGUAGUGACAAUUCUGGAAUUUUGGUUUCUUUAAAAACACAGAACUAUUAUAUGGAUAUGAUUUUGUUUUAAUCCCAGGUGUGUGGUAAGGGGCCGCUUCGGACUGUCUGCAGCAGCUGACUAUGCAUUGCCUCAUGCUGUAGCAGAGACAUGGUUUUGCCAACUGCAGAUAGUUUCUGAGAUUGUGUGACAUUUGGAAUUCUGGGAACUUUUCAGAGGAUAGAUAAAUGUUAGGACCAUACUAGGCAGGGUUGGUGGUUGGUGGUUGUUCAAGGGUGCAGUUUGUUAGUAGUCCUGCUCGAAAAGGAAAAAAAAAAUAGAUUUGGGGAU